AUGCCCUUUUCUCUUGAGCUGAAACGCAUGCAAGCAUGGCUGUUGACCGAGCCCCCUAAUUCAACUAUUCAGGUUCAUGUUCUUGGGGAAAAAUCGUUGUCUAUUUCCUAUAUUGGUGAUGCGGGUGAACUGAUUUGGGAAUAUGUCGAUGUUAAAGCAUUUGGUCAUGAUGGAUCAUUUUACUGGUUCUCAGUUCAACUCAAGAUGGCUCAGAUAGGACUAAGUUUGAAUAUUCAUGUGUUGGAUAGGGGUUGGGGUUGGUCUCCUGCACAAGAGAUAUGUGAAGGUGCAAAUUGGAGCAGAAGAUUCGUCUAUGAUGCAGCAGCUCAAAGCUGA
rnacentral:rRNA from 1 species